rnacentral:lncRNA from 1 species
CGCCGCGCUCCCUCCUUGCGCUGCGUCCCCGCCGGGAAACCCGCCGCCGGAGGAGCAACCAGAGCAGGGGUCUGGCUCAGGGCGUGCAGGCGGAGUCCCUGGGCUCGGGAACUCCGGCACCGCUGCCCUGAACGCCAGGCGGAGAUUAGUCCCGCUUGCAGGUGAUGCCCGAGGCCAGUGCCUCCUCCAUGUUGGACAACGCCAGGCAACCUUUGCAGAAGGCAACUCCCGACGCCGCCUCAGCGCCCCAAGCCGGGCAGAAGCAGAUCUGAGUGGUGCCAGCUAGGCGCCGUCGGCCCCUCCCACCGCGCCCCGCCUCCUCGUCCGCGCCCUCACAGUGCGCAUGCCCCUUUCAGAACAGGUGAUGCUCACACCCGCGCCCAUCCCGCUCUGCGUAGCUCCUUCUCCUUCCUCAUUCUCAGCACCGAUUUAAAGGAGCCAAGCUAGAGGACAGAUUAAAAACCGGGAUGAAACAGCAGGCGUUUCUUUCAGGCAUAUUUCAGGAUGCCUCAACCUGAGUUUUAGCAGACUACAUUCUAGGGAACCGGGAAGGGUUUGGAGGGGAGGUGUCCGUUUCUAAUCCAUCUUUGACUCAUGGGAUUUGUAGUUUGUUUUUAAGCAAGCUUUUAAAAGACCCUAGAAAUGUUUUCAGCCCAGGCUGCCCUAGGAAUCAGUAACACUCUAGAUGGAGGUGAGGAAGGAGAUGAUUCACAUGCUGACUAUUUUCUCAUAAUAUGCUCAAGUUUUAUGAGAAUAAAAUGUAUUCAGACUCACAAACCACAGGCUUAAACUGGUAAGAUAAAUACCCCUUCAAACUCUGUGUGCUCAGUUGUGACCAACUCUUUGUGACCCCAUGGACUACAGGUGUCAAAACUCCUCUGUGCAUGGGAUUUUGUAGGCAAGAAUUCUAGAGUGGGUUCUCAUUCUCUACCCCAGGGGAUCUUCCUGACCCAGGAAUGUAACCUGCAUCUUCUGUGUCUUAUGCAUUGGCAGGCAGAUUCUUUACCACUGAGCCACCUGGGAAGCCUCAGAAUAAUAUCUAAACUAAGGAAAUGUAUUGUUAACUUCAUGUUAUCUGCCAAUUUAGAUGAAAUGGAAUUUAUAAAGUAAUAAAUAAAAAUUGAUAAUCAAUAUGCAAAGUAAUGUUGAUAGGCAGUAAUUUGUAAGAUGGGAAUGUUAUAACCCAUUGAGCAAAUAUAUGCAUUGACUUUCUCUUUCCCUUCUGUCUCCCAGGAGCAAAUAUCAUCAGAAAAUGUGAAAAUGGAACAUAUGGUGAGACCACUAAACGGACUAUGAAAAUAGGAGAUAUAAUGGUGACACUGGGAAAUAUUCUGGCUGUUGACUUUUUCAAAUGAUUUUGCAUUUGUAACCCUUAUAACUGUUGAGUUUCAAAUAACAUUUCUUUUUUCAGUCUUUUAUUUGGACUUAGUUGCUUGUAUCAAUAGUUGAGAGGUGUUUCUGAUUUAAACAGAAAUGCUAGAGCAGAAUCCAGGUGCAUUCCUGUUAUGUGAAUCCUCAGAAUUCUAAGGGGAUGAGGAUGACAAGUUAAAAAAAAAAAAGGCUGUUGGGUAACUAUGGAGUUUCUCUUUGUUGACUCAGAAAACUAUCAUAAUUACUUUCAUUCUGCAAAUUAACUAAUGGUGGUUGGCAGUGUAGUUGCUAAGUUGUGUCCAACCCUUGUGAUUCCAUGAAUUCUAGCCCCCGCAGGCUCCUCUGUCCACAGAGGAGCUUCCUGUUGAUUAUUGCAUCCUAUUGAUUAUAUAGUUACUCUAAUGAUCAUUUAUUUAAAUCUCAAUUUAACUUAACAAGUGAUAGUUCAGCACCCAUUCACUCAGCCUGAUAGGUAGGUCAUGAAAUGAAUCAGUUUCUGAAAACUUCUAUUGUUAUAUACCACCAUAAUAUCUUUCUAAAAUGAUUUCUCACCUCCAGAAAGUGAGAUAUUUUUGAUUUUUUUGUCUCAAUUUUCCAGGUAGUUUCUAUUUCAAUAGAUUUAAUCAAUCUAAAUGUGGGAGUUAACAGCUGAACAUAAGUAGGUCAUGAUUCCUUGGAAUGGGGUGGCCCAGUCUAUCCAAGUCCUUAUAGAUAUCAUUCAACAGGGAUAAAAUAAAAUAGAUCUACCUUGUAUCUAUAUGUGAAAAACUUGAAUAAGUUAAGGGA